rnacentral:tRNA from 1 species
UGUCCCAUGGCUUAGUUGGUUACGGCGUCCGACUGUUAAGAACCGUCCAAUAAAUCGCAAUCGGAAGAUCGAGAGUUCAAGUCUCUCUGGGACAG